UACGUAGGGGGCUAGCGUUGUCCGGAUUUACUGGGCGUAAAGAGCGUGUAGGCGGCCAUACAGGUCCGUUGUGAAAACUCGAGGCUCAACCUCGAGACGUCGAUGGAAACCGUAUGGCUAGAGUCCGGAAGAGGAGAGUGGAAUUCCUGGUGUAGCGGUGAAAUGCGCAGAUAUCAGGAAGAACACCCGUGGCGAAGGCGGCUCUCUGGGACGGUACUGACGCUGAGACGCGAAAGCGUGGGGAGCGAACAGG
rnacentral:rRNA from 1 species